AGAGUGAACGCUGGCGGUAGGCCUAACACAUGCAAGUCGAACGGCAGCACAGCAGUAGCAAUACUGUAGGUGGCGAGUGGCGGACGGGUGAGGAAUACAUCGGAAUCUACCUUUUCGUGGGGGAUAACGUAGGGAAACUUACGCUAAUACCGCAUAAGACCUUCGGGUGAAAGCCGGGGACCUUCGGGGCCUGGCGCGG
rnacentral:rRNA from 1 species